CAGCGCCGCGGGAAAACGUAGGGUGCAAGCGUUAAUCGGAAUUACUGGGCGUAAAGCGUGCGCAGGCGGUUAUAUAAGACAGAUGUGAAAUCCCCGGGCUCAACCUGGGAACUGCAUUUGUGACUGUAUAGCUAGAGUACGGCAGAGGGGGAUGGAAUUCCGCGUGUAGCAGUGAAAUGCGUAGAUAUGCGGAGGAACACCGAUGGCGAAGGCAAUCCCCUGGGCCUGUACUGACGCUCAUGCACGAAAGCGUGGGGAGCAAACAGGAUUAGAUACCCCUGUAGUCCCUGUCUCUUAUACC
rnacentral:rRNA from 1 species